CAGUGUACGUGCACAUGCAUACCCAACGAUUGUAAUAUUUCUGAAGAUUAAAGUCCAAGACAAAAUAAUGACGAAGAAGAAAAUCAAAAAAGGAGACAUUGUCACCUCCAUUGGCAGCCAAAACACUGUGUGCAAACCAUUCCAACAUGCACUCAAUAUCCUAUAAAGAAGGUCUAUAAUGGCUACAAAGCCUAUAAAGCCUAGAAGGCCUAAAAACUAUGUGCAUGAUGGACAAUGAGUAAGAAAAAGGAAAUAAUAGAGGAGCCUUCUCCCGAAAGCCGUCCAAGAGGUGCUCUCUUGCCUAUAAAAGGAAGAGUCUUGCUGCGAAGAGAGACACCAGAGGGAGAAGAAUAAGCCACAGAUAGAGCAGAGAGCUGCAACUCAGCUAGCAAGCUCGUUGCUCAGCAGUAGUAUUAGUAUUAGUAGUAGUAGUAGUAUUUCUUCGUCGUGUAAUAAGAGCUACAAUAUUGAGAGCAUUUGUAUGCUCGCGAAGAUAGUUAGAAGGAUCUUUGAGGGGCUGUCGAGGCCAACAAGACGACUGAGGUGUACGAAGUGGUGUAAUAUCCUAUUCAGUACUCACCAUAUUUAUCAUUAUGUUGUUUUAGAUGUAGCUAAGUUCGUUCGCUUGAUGUUUUUAGUUGCAAAUUUAUGGACUAAAUUCCUAUCGUCUUUCCAGGCAGUUCAACCCGAAGGGAACACUUGUCUACGACAAUAAGAUUCUCAUUCAAAUGCCAUAAUAGGCUACACAAAGAAGUACCGGCAGAGUUUUCUACUAUAGGAUCCCUAGCAUAAGAACUCGUCCCAUAAAUUCAUAAAUAAAAAUACCAAGUGAAAACACGAAACUACAUAAUUUUCACAACAUAAUUUACAUAUGGUUUUCUCUGCCGGAAACCCUCGAAAGGUUUACACAAGGGUAAAAGAAAUUACCAUCUAACUACCUUCGCGAGCUUACAAAUGCUCUCAAUAUUGUAGCUCUUAUUACACGAUGAAGAAGUACUACCACCACCACGACUACUACUACUACUAGUGAGCAACGAGCUUGCUAGCUGAGUUGCAGCUCUUUGCUCUAUCUGUGGAUGGUUAUUCUUCGCCUGAUGUCUAUCUUCGCAGCUAGCAAGACUCCUCCUUUUAUAGGCAAGAGAGCACCUCUUGGAUGGCUUCCGGGAGAAGGCUCCUCUAUUAUUUCCUCCUUUCUCCUUGUCCAUCUUGCACCUAGUUUUUAGGCCUUCUAGUCUUUAUAGGCUUUGUUAUCAUUAUAGCCCUUCUUUCUAGGCUAUUGAGUGCAUGUUGGAGGGGUUUGCACACCGUGUCUUGGCUGCAAAUGGAGGUGGCAUUGUAAUCUUUUUUGAUUUCCUUCAUCGUCGUGAUUUUGUCUUGGACUUUAA